UCCCUCUCAGGGUUACACCUGGAGAGUUUCCAGUACUCUUCCAGUCUUGGCUAUGGAAGGGAAAGUCAAGUAGAGGCCUACCCAUUCCAUUCCUUGCUUGGCCAGUGGCUAGCGAGUGGAAGGCAGUCUGCUACAAGU